GACGAACGCUGGCGGCGUGCUUAACACAUGCAAGUCGAACGGAAAGGCCCUGCUUGCAGGGUACUCGAGUGGCGAACGGGUGAGUAACACGUGGGUGAUCUGCCCUGCACUUCGGGAUAAGCUUGGGAAACUGGGUCUAAUACCGGAUAGGACCGCACUUUAGUGUGUGUGGUGGAAAGUUUUUUCGGUGUAGGAUGAGCUCGCGGCCUAUCAGCUUGUUGGUGGGGUAAUGGCCUACCAAGGCGGCGACGGGUAGCCGGCCUGAGAGGGUGUACGGCCACAUUGGGACUGAGAUACGGCCCAGACUCCUACGGGAGGCAGCAGUGGGGAAUAUUGCACAAUGGGCGCAAGCCUGAUGCAGCGACGCCGCGUGGGGGAUGAAGGCCUUCGGGUUGUAAACUCCUUUCGCUAGGGACGAAGCGUUGUUGUGACGGUACCUAGAGAAGAAGCACCGGCUAACUACGUG
rnacentral:rRNA from 1 species